rnacentral:rRNA from 1 species
GAUGAACGCUGGCGGCGUGCCUAAUACAUGCAAGUAGAACGCUGAAGGAGGAGCUUGCUUCUCCGGAUGAGUUGCGAACGGGUGAGUAACGCGUAGGUAACCUGCCUGGUAGCGGGGGAUAACUAUUGGAAACGAUAGCUAAUACCGCAUAACAGUAGAUAUCGCAUGAUAUCUGCUUGAAAGGUGCAAUUGCAUCACUACCAGAUGGACCUGCGUUGUAUUAGCUAGUUGGUGAGGUAACGGCUCACCAAGGCGACGAUACAUAGCCGACCUGAGAGGGUGAUCGGCCACACUGGGACUGAGACACGGCCCAGACUCCUACGGGAGGCAGCAGUAGGGAAUCUUCGGCAAUGGACGGAAGUCUGACCGAGCAACGCCGCGUGAGUGAAGAAGGUUUUCGGAUCGUAAAGCUCUGUUGUAAGAGAAGAACGAGUGUGAGAGUGGAAAGUUCACACUGUGACGGUAUCUUACCAGAAAGGGACGGCUAACUACGUG